CAGUGCCAAUCAAGCAACUACUGUGAUCGCUAAACUAAUUCCAAUUUCCAACCUAUAUUGUUUUUUUUAAUAUUUCACUCAUCUUUGGAGAGUCGACUAAACACAAGCAACAAUAACAUUAAUUUUUGUAUAUUGUAAAGCUCUAACAUGUCAUACCAUACGAUACUCUCUUCAACCAAACCAAACUAAACCAAACAACAACGAAACCAAUAUAAUAAAAAGUCAGAGACUCAACCAGUCGCCCAACCUACCAACAAUAUAAAAUACAGUGAUGUUUAAAUAUUUUAUUAAAUACAGUCUUGUUAAAAAAAUUUUAUUAAAAGAAUUUGUAGAUGUCUCUACCAAUGGGUAAUUAUUUAUUUGUUAUUCCAUCUACAAAAUAAAAUAAAUAGUUUUAUGUUUCGGA